GCCUAACACAUGCAAGUCGAACGGCAGCACAGGAGAGCUUGCUCUCUGGGUGGCGAGUGGCGGACNGGGUGAGGAAUACAUCGGAAUCUACUCUGUCGUGGGGGAUAACGUAGGGAAACUUACGCUAAUACCGCAUACGACCUACGGGUGAAAGCAGGGGAUCUUCGGACCUUGCGCGAUUGAAUGAGCCGAUGUCGGAUUAGCUAGUUGGCGGGGUAAAGGCCCACCAAGGCGACGAUCCGUAGCUGGUCUGAGAGGAUGAUCAGCCACACUGGAACUGAGACACGGUCCAGACUCCUACGGGAGGCAGCAGUGGGGAAUAUUGGACAAUGGGCGCAAGCCUGAUCCAGCCAUACCGCGUGGGUGAAGAAGGCCUUCGGGUUGUAAAGCCCUUUUGUUGGGAAAGAAAUCCAGCUGGCUAAUACCCGGUUGGGAUGACGGUACCCAAAGAAUAAGCAC
rnacentral:rRNA from 1 species